rnacentral:rRNA from 1 species
GACAAACGCUGGCGGCGUGCCUAAUACAUGCAAGUCGAACGCACGAAGUUGAAGAGCUUGCUCUUUAACCAAGUGAGUGGCGGACGGGGUGAGUAACACGUGGGUAACCUACCCAUUAGAGGGGGAUAACAUUCGGAAACGGAUGCUAAUACCGCAUAGUUUCAGGAAUCGCAUGAUUCGUGAAGGAAAGGUGGCUUCGGCUACCACUAAUGGAUGGACCCGCGGCGUAUUAGCUAGUUGGUGAGGUAAUGGCUCACCAAGGCAAUGAUACGUAGCCGACCUGAGAGGGUGAUCGGCCACACUGGGACUGAGACACGGCCCAGACUCCUACGGGAGGCAGCAGUAGGGAAUCUUCCGCAAUGGACGAAAGUCUGACGGAGCAACGCCGCGUGAGUGAAGAAGGUUUUCGGAUCGUAAAACUCUGUUGUUAAAGAAGAACAAGGAUGAGAGUAACUGCUCAUCCCCUGACGGUAUUUAACCAGAAAGCCACGGCUAACUACGUGCCAGCAGCCGCGGUAAUACGUAGGUGGCAAGCGUUGUCCGGAUUUAUUGGGCGUAAAGCGAGCGCAGGCGGCUCUUUAAGUCUGAUGUGAAAGCCCCCGGCUCAACCGGGGAGGGUCAUUGGAAACUGGAGAACUUGAGUGCAGAAGAGGAGAGUGGAAUUCCACGUGUAGCGGUGAAAUGCGUAGAUAUGUGGAGGAACACCAGUGGCGAAGGCGACUCUCUGGUCUGUAACUGACGCUGAGGCUCGAAAGCGUGGGGAGCAAACAGG